rnacentral:rRNA from 1 species
UACAGAGGGUGCGAGCGUUGUUCGGAAUUAUUGGGCGUAAAGCGCGCGUAGGCGGAUUUGCAAGUCGGGGGUGAAAGCCCGAGGCUCAACCUCGGAACUGCCCUCGAUACUGCAAAUCUCGAGUCCGAGAGAGGUGAGUGGAAUUCCUAGUGUAGAGGUGAAAUUCGUAGAUAUUAGGAAGAACACCAGUGGCGAAGGCGGCUCACUGGCUCGGUACUGACGCUGAGGCGCGAAAGCGUGGGGAGCAAACAGG